rnacentral:rRNA from 1 species
UACGUAGGGUGCAGGCGUUAUCGGAAUUACUGGGCGUAAAGCGUGCGCAGGCGGUUUCUUAAGUCAGAUGUGAAAGCCCCGGGCUUAACCUGGGAACUGCGUUUGAAACUGGGAGACUAGAGUGUGGCAGAGGGGGGUGGAAUUCCACGUGUAGCAGUGAAAUGCGUAGAUAUGUGGAGGAACACCGAUGGCGAAGGCAGCCCCCUGGGUUAACACUGACGCUCAGGCACGAAAGCGUGGGGAGCAAACAGG